UCUGAAGCACCACACUGACUUGGUGGUCCGUUUGAUAUUUGAAAGGAAAUAAGUGGAGGAGAGGCUAAAGAUUGAUCUUGGGUGAGAGCACAAAUUGGAUCAAAUCCAGUUGGCUUCUUACAUUACGCAGAACCAGCGAUUUAAUGCUAUUGACCGGGAGAUCAGCUGUUGGGUAUAAUUGGCGAAUUAACCAAUAUUAUGUAUUUAGCUUCAAAUGGAUUUCCAUCCCAGUGCAGGUCCACCAUCGGUUUCCCGGCCCCCUCGGUCCCAGAGCCUUGCCGUGUUAUCCAUUGUGCUGGACCAACGGAGGUCACUUAAUAGUAAUUCAACAAUACAGCACUGACCCACUAAUUAUAACCCCCUUCCCAACCCCCUGUCAAAACACAAAGU